CAAUUACCGGGGACUCUAAAAAGGGGUUUUAACAUAAAUGACCCAUUUAAAUAAAUGAAAACAAAAUUAAAAGGGAAUAAACGAUCCUUAACUAAGACCAUCUCGAAUGGCUUACUCUAUUUUUAACUCUAAAAUAGAGUAAUUUUAUAAUAGAGUUUGAGUUUACUCUAAUGGUACUCUAUUUUAGAGUAGAAAAUAGAGUGAUAAACAAAAAAAAAAUAAAUUAUUCUAUAUUUAGAGUAAAUCUAUUUUUUACUCUAUUAUAGAGUGAGAAAUAGAGUACCAUUAGAGCAUUUUUUACUUUAAACUCUAUUUUAGAGUGAAAAAUAGAGUGUGGUUGGAGAUGCUCUAAGGUAUUUGGGAACCGCUUUUUUGUGGGUUUGUUAAACCACGUGUCAGCCAUAAAACGUUUUGAAUUUUCGAUUUUAUUUUUUGUUUUCUUUCUUUCUCUUCUUUUUGGUUUUUUCUCAGUCUCGUCUUCUCCACCAACAAGGCCAUCAAAACGACGAAAGACGAUGACGCUACCGAUGACGCUAACGGCGUCGAUUUCGUCUUCUCUCUUCUUCUCCGACAGAACACCGGUCGAAACCACAACGGAGAUCGACUCUCUCGGUCCUCAUCACGGCGUCGAUUGCGUCUUCUCUCUUCUUCUCCGUCAGAAGACCGAUCGAUUCAACUUCGAGAACACUUCACAAGAGUGAGACAAAGAGAAAAAGCCAUUUGAUGUCACAAGAGAGGUCAAGAGAAGUCACGGGUUUUGUAAGCAUGUGUGUGUGUGUCAAGAGAAGUCACGAGUUUUGUAAGCAAUCAGUAUGUGUUUGUAUGUGUCGAGUGUUUGUGUGUAACGAGUGUUUGUAUCUGUCACAAGUGUUUGUGAGUGUUUGUAUGUGUCAUGGGUGUUGUUUGUGUCAGUCGGGUAUGUAUUCAAGAGCAAAACACAAGUCACAAAGCAUUGCAUUAUAUAAAAGAGAGACAUUGUAAAACACAA